UUUCCCUAACUUUGAAUUGUUCCGCAG
rnacentral:piRNA from 1 species